rnacentral:misc_RNA from 1 species
UUUCCGUAGGUGAACCUGCGGAAGGAUCAUUAAAAAAUUGGACUCCAUUGGUGAGUUCAUUAAUAAUCCCUACCCUUUGUGAAUUUGUUUGUUUGAAUAAUUUUUUUUCCAAAAAAAAAUUAUUGAAUGUCUUUCCUUGUUUUGGUGGAGCUUGUAAAGUGAAACCAGGCAGGGGAAUGGCAAACAAUAAUUAUUUUUGAAAAAGACCUUUUUUUAAAAUUAAACUUUUUGUAUUCAUUUGUCUAAAAUUAAUUUUUAUAAUAUAAAAACAACUUUUGACAAUGGAUCUCUUGGUUCUCGCAACGAUGAAGAACGCAGCAAAAUGCGAUAAGUAGUGUGAAUUGCAGAAUACGUGAAUCAUCGAAUCUUCGAACGCAUAUUGCACUUUUUUAGUUUACUAAAAAAGUAUGUCUGUUUGAGUAUCAGUGAAAUAUUCUCAUAAAAAACAUUGUUUUUUUAUGGUUAUGAGUGUUUUACAACGAUAACAAGUUGUUUCACUCUAAAUUCUUUGUUAUCAAAAAAAUCAUUAAAAGCUAAUUUUAAAGAUUUUUUAAAAUUGGAUAAAAUUUUCCCGUAAAAAGGAAUAACCUAAACAAUUUUAAAAAAUUAAAAUUGGUUUGAUUUUUUUGAAACCCAAAGGAAAAAAAAACGAAAUUAACUUGAUCUCAAAUCAGAUAAGAGUACCCGCUGAACUUAAGCAUAUCAAUAAGCGGAGGAAAAGAAACUAACUAGGAUUCCCUCAGUAACGGCGAGUGAAGCGGGAAGAGCUCAAAUUUGAAAUCUUCAAGGUUUUACCUUGACGAAUUGUAGUUUAAAGUAGUGUUUUCUGUUGGAGUUUUGGUAAAAGUUCUUUGGAAAAGGACAUCAUAGAGGGUGAGAAUCCCGUAUUUGACCAUUAUCUCCAGCUUUGUGAUACACUUUCAAAGAGUCGGAUUGUUUGGGAAUGCAGUCCAAAAUGGGUGGUAAAUUUCAUCUAAAGCUAAAUACUGGCGAGAGACCGAUAGCGAACAAGUACCGUGAGGGAAAGAUGAAAAGAACUUUGAAAAGAGAGUUAAACAGUACGUGAAAUUGUCAAAAGGGAAGCGUUUGACACCAGUGUUGUUUUCUCGAAAAUCAAUUAAAAAAGGCCGGAUUUUGUGUUGUAUUGACUUUAUCAGCUUUCUGCACUCUUUUCUUGUCUUUUUUAAUGCACUUUUCGUUUAACAAGUCAACAUCAAUUUCUUUUGUUGUAAAAGGGUCAUUGGAAGGUGGCUUUCUUUUCGGAGAAAGUGUUUAUAGCCUUUGGCCUCUGCAAUCGGAGAGAUUGAGGUCUGCAGCGUAGAUCCUUCGGGGUUAGAUACAUUUGUGCUAAGUUAUAGCCUUUCAUAGACAACUUGUUGACUAUGAUCAGUCAUGUAGCUUACUCGCUUAUGCUAUUU